GAUGAACGCUGGCGGCGUGCCUAAUACAUGCAAGUCGAGCGAACAGACGAGGAGCUUGCUCCUCUGACGUUAGCGGCGGACGGGUGAGUAACACGUGGAUAACCUACCUAUAAGACUGGGAUAACUUCGGGAAACCGGAGCUAAUACCGGAUAAUAUAUUGAACCGCAUGGUUCAAUAGUGAAAGACGGCUUUGCUGUCACUUAUAGAUGGAUCCGCGCCGCAUUAGCUAGUUGGUAAGGUAACGGCUUACCAAGGCGACGAUGCGUAGCCGACCUGAGAGGGGGAUCGGCCACACUGGAACUGAGACGCGGUCCAGACUCCUACGGGAGGCAGCAGUAGGGAAUCUUCCGCAAUGGGCGAAAGCCUGACGGAGCAACGCCGCGUGAGUGAUGAAGGUCUUCGGAUCGGAAAACUCUGUUAUGAGGGAAGAACAAAUGUGGAAGUAACUAUGCACGUCUUGACGGUACCUAAUCAGAAAGCCACGGCUAACUACGUG
rnacentral:rRNA from 1 species